GAGGAAAAGAAACCAACAGGGAUUGCCCCAGUAGCGGCGAGUGAAGCGGCAAGAGCUCAGAUUUGAAAUCGUGUUUCGGCACGAGUUGUAGAGUGUAGGCGGGAGUCUCUGUGGAGCGCGGUGUCCAAGUCCCUUGGAACAGGGUGCCUGAGAGGGUGAGAGCCCCGUAGGGUGCUGCGCGAAGCUUUUGAGGCCCUGCUGACGAGUCGAGUUGUUUGGGAAUGCAGCUCCAAGCGGGUGGUAAAUUCCAUCUAAGGCUAAAUAUUGGCGAGAGACCGAUAGCGAACAAGUACUGUGAAGGAAAGAUGAAAAGCACUUUGAAAAGAGAGUGAAACAGCACGUGAAAUUGUUGAAAGGGAAGGGUAUUGGGCUCGACAUGGGGGGUGCGCACCGCUGUCUCUUGUAGGCGGCGCUCUGGGCGCCCUCUGGGCCAGCAUCGGUUCCUGCUGCGGGAGAAGGGGCUCCGGAAAGUGGCUCUUCGGAGUGUUAUAGCCGGGGCCAGAUGCCGCGUGUGGGGACCGAGGACUGCGGCUUCUGUCUCGGAUGCUGGCAUAACGGCGCAAUACCGCCCGU
rnacentral:rRNA from 1 species